rnacentral:lncRNA from 1 species
UUCAGAUUUUUGGUUCUAAGAGUUUGGGAGGAGGAAAUAAAUUAAAAAAAAUUUAUUUUCUUCUUCAUCUUUCUUUCACCUCUUCAUCUUCUUGAAAAAUUCAUCUUAAAUCUCUGGAAAGAUUUUAGAAAUUUGAAGAAAAGAUUCAUAACAGCCAAGAAGAAGGUCUUCAUGCGAGCUAGCACUUUCGAGAAGAUCGAUUAGAUCAGGACUUUGAGUGGAUUUUUCG